ensembl:lncRNA
UCGGAUUUCCUGCACUUGCCACAUAUCGGCGAUAGUUUGGCUAUAAUUAUUUAUUCCAAUGCGGAUUCUUAAUUAAUGAAUGAAGAGUUUCCCAGACUCAAACCCAGUUUAAAACAUUCAAACUUCAGCUGAAUACACCGGACCUCUGUCACAAUGAUCAUUCAAACGAUUAGGGGAGAAGAAGUGGAGAAUGGAACGUAGGCCUACACACCGUAGGUGUCGAUAAUGGUGUGUCUGGAUGAGUCCACUGAAAGGUGUUUGGUAUUUAGUAGUUUUGUAUGCCAUAACCUUUUAGAACUAUCAAAAAACACCAGAAUGGCCCGCGGACUUUUGCCAUUGAGAAGCGCAACAUCGGGUUAGUUAUAAAACAAAACAUUAACACGGCAAUAGUGAGGCUAGACCAAUCAUAGACUAAUAGACUAAACAGUAAGGUCAGGUAAGUGAAAGGCAUUGUUGAUUUUAUUUUAUUUUAUAGAAUGUAUCUUUUCUUGUUGAAGGUAGAUAUAGGCCUACUUUCUUGUGACAUGUUUCCAUGGCAAACAUUCAUAGCCGACUUAAACUGUGGAAUAUCAUUUCACAUGAUUCACUAAAUGCUAGGCUUUUCGACCAGUCAAGUUCGAAUGUUAAAGAAACUUCGUCAUUUGCAGAAGGAAAAAAUACAACCAUGACAACCAUUAGGCCAAUACUUUAUUACGAUUCAUAUUUUUACAGUGAAUAUCAUAUGCCUAUAGAGUUGGUUGAUGGUAAGGUCCCAACACCUAUAGUUUAUGCCUACCAAUAUAACCCACACAAUCACGAGGCCAAUUCUGAGUGUUUGUGUCUGCAAUUCCCCGAUCAAGAACGUUGUACUUAAGGCUGUGUUUGAGCAAUGGUAAUAGCCAAUUAGUGUACAGUCUGACCGCAGUUGCUGAAAUAAAGUAACAGAAAAAACACUAUUUUGCAAAUAUUAUUUUUUCAGUAACACAUUUGGUAGGCUACAUAUAGACUACUGCUACUCCAUAUUUUAAGUCUUUGGGAUGCAAAAGGUUUAAACCCACACGGAGACAGAUAAUGAUUUCCUAUGUAUAUAUAUCAUUCAACUAAUUACAUAAACCAAGGCAGACAUUAUGCUCAAUUUAUUUGUUUUAGGGGUUCCACAGUAAGCCUAUGCGCAUAUAGGCCUAGUUGAUGUUGUGGUUUUAUUUAGGCCUAGCCUAUAGGUCUAUGUGUUAGCUCGGUGAGUGCACAUGGACCUUUGUAUCUUAACUUUUGUUUUUAACUUUAACUUCAACCUAAA